rnacentral:rRNA from 1 species
GCUUGUCUCAAAGAUUAAGCCAUGCAUGUCUAAGUAUAAACGACUUUAUACUGUGAAACUGCGAAUGGCUCAUUAUAUCAGUUAUAGUUUAUUUGAUGGUCCUUGCUACUUGGAUAACCGUAGUAAUUCUAGAGCUAAUACAUGCAUCAAGCCCCGACUUCUGGAAGGGGUGUAUUUAUUAGAUGGAAACCAAUGCGGGGCAACCCGGUAUAUGGUGAUUCAUAAUAACUUUGCGAAUCGCAUGGCCUUGCGCCGGCGAUGAAUCAUUCAAAUUUCUGCCCUAUCAACUUUCGAUGGUAAGGUAUUGGCCUACCAUGGUUACAACGGGUAACGGGGAAUUAGGGUUCGGUUCCGGAGAGGGCGCCUGAGAAAUGGCGACCACAUCCAAGGAAGGCAGCAGG